UAGGGAAUCUUCCGCAAUGGACGCAAGUCUGACGGAGCAACGCCGCGUGAGUGAAGAAGGAUUUCGGUUCGUAAAACUCUGUUGUUAGAGAAGAACAGCGCAUAGAGUAACUGUUAUGCGUGUGACGGUAUCUAACCAGAAAGCCACGGCUAACUACGUGCCAGCAGCCGCGGUAAUACGUAGGUGGCAAGCGUUGUCCGGAUUUAUUGGGCGUAAAGCGAGCGCAGGCGGUCAAUUAAGUCUGAUGUGAAAGCCCCCGGCUCAACCGGGGAGGGUUAUUGGAAACUGGUUGACUUGAGUGCAGAAGAGGAGAGUGGAAUUCCAUGUGUAACGGUGAAAUGCGUAGAUAUAUGGAGGAACACCAGUGGCGAAGGCGACUCUCUGGUCUGUAACUGACGCUGAGGCUCGAAAGCGUGGGUAGCAAACAGG
rnacentral:rRNA from 1 species